rnacentral:lncRNA from 1 species
UAAUAAUUUUUAAAAAAAAUUGAUAGGCCAAAUAAUUUUUUCAAAUUUUUAUGGCCAAUUUGCAUAAAAAAUUCACUAGUUUUGCGCUUUUGCAAAUGUGGGCCACAUUUUUCGAUUUUGCAGAUUCGGACCGGAGUUUUAGUAAACUGACCAAAAUACCCUUCGUCUACAUCCGCCGCUCGCGUAUUCUUUGAGAUACGUAUACCCUACCAUACGGUCCAGGCGGGUAUUAAAUGCGCCCCUUGCGCUUUACGCAAUCUCGGCUCUUUUUCGAAACCCAGACCAAAUUCGCCCCGUUAUUCGCCAGUUCCGCUGUUUGCUGUUCAGCUUUAAGAAUUUAAAUACUCUGAAGCUAAAAGAUAAGAACUACGUGGCCCGCAACAGGGGUAAUAGUGCAACG